CAAUAGCGUAUAUUUAAGUUGUUGCAGUUAAAAAGCUCGUAGUUGGAUUUCGGUUGAGAACGGCCGGUCCGCCGUUUGGUGUGCACUGGCUGGUUUCAACUUCCUGUAGAGGACGCGCUCUGGCUUCACGGCUGGACGCGGAGUCUACGUGGUUACUUUGAAAAAAUUAGAGUGUUCAAAGCGGGCUUACGCUUGAAUAUUUCAGCAUGGAAUAACACUAUAGGACUCCUGUCCUAUUUCGUUGGUCUCGGGACGGGAGUAAUGAUUAAGAGGAACAGUUGGGGGCAUUCGUAUUUCAUUGUCAGAGGUGAAAUUCUUGGAUUUAUGAAAGACGAACUUCUGCGAAAGCAUUUGCCAAGGAUGUUNUCAUUNA
rnacentral:rRNA from 1 species